rnacentral:rRNA from 1 species
GACGUAGGGCGCGAGCGUUGUCCGGAUUUAUUGGGCGUAAAGAGCUCGUAGGCGGUCUGUCGCGUCCGUUGUGAAAACUCGAGGCUCAACCUCGGGCUUGCAGUGGAUACGGGCAGACUAGAGUGCGGUAGGGGAGACUGGAAUUCCUGGUGUAGCGGUGGAAUGCGCAGAUAUCAGGAGGAACACCGAUGGCGAAGGCAGGUCUCUGGGCCGCAACUGACGCUGAGGAGCGGAAAGCAUGGGGGAGCAAACGGG